rnacentral:rRNA from 1 species
CCUACGGGAGGCAGCAGUGAGGAAUAUUGGUCAAUGGCCGCAGGGCUGAACCAGCCAAGUCGCGUGAGGGAUGACGGUCCUAUGGAUUGUAAACCUCUUUUGUCAGGGAGCAAAGGGCGCCACGUGUGGCGCUUUGCGAGUACCUGAAGAAAAAGCCUCGGCUAACUCCGUGCCAGCAGCCGCGGUAAUACGGAGGAUGCGAGCGUUAUCCGGUUUUAUUGGGUUUAAAGUGUGCGCAGGCGGAAUGUCAAGUCAGCGGUAAAAUUUCGGGGCUCAACCCCGUCGUGCCGUUGAAACUGGCGUUCUUGAGUGAGCGAGAAGUAUGCGGAAUGCGUGGUGUAGCGGUGAAAUGCAUAGAUAUCACGCAGAACUCCGAUUGCGAAGGCAGCAUACCGGCGCUCAACUGACGCUCAUGCACGAAAGCGUGGGUAUCGAACAGGAUUAGAUACCCGUGUAGUC